AUGGACAAAAAAAAAAAAAAAAAAAAAAAAAAAAAA
rnacentral:ribozyme from 1 species